UGACGUCGCCAGGGGAGUCUUCGGACUGAGAGUGCGCAGCGAGCGCUGACCCUGGAACCUGAACCGGAUGAUACCGGCGGAGGAAGCGCGACAUGCCAAGCCU
rnacentral:ncRNA from 1 species